AUUGAACGCUGGCGGCAUGCCUUACACAUGCAAGUCGAACGGCAGCACGGGAGCAAUCCUGGUGGCGAGUGGCGAACGGGUGAGUAAUAUAUCGGAACGUGCCCGGUCGUGGGGAUAACGUAGCGAAAGCUACGCUAAUACCGCAUACGAUCUACGGAUGAAAGCGGGGGAUCGCAAGACCUCGCGCGAUUGGAGCGGCCGAUAUCAGAUUAGGUAGUUGGUGAGGUAAAGGCUCACCAAGCCGACGAUCUGUAGCUGGUCUGAGAGGACGACCAGCCACACUGGGACUGAGACACGGCCCAGACUCCUACGGGAGGCAGGCAGUGGGGAAUUUUGGACAAUGGGCGCAAGCCUGAUCCAGCAAUGCCGCGUGCAGG
rnacentral:rRNA from 1 species